UUAGGUGACCUGCGGAAGGAUCAUUGUCGAAACCCCAAAAGCAGAAACGACCCCGAACACAGUCGUCGAAACCGGGGAUGGGGCGGACGGGACCGGCGGACUCGUUCCGUCCUCCCGUGCGUGCCGUCCUCCCAAAGAACAAAACCCAGGCGCAGAACGCGCCAAGGAAUCGGAUACGAAAAUAAAAGGGAGCGAGCCCCCGAACGGAAUUCGCGAGGGUGGCCCGGUCUCCUUUCGGAAACAAAACGACUCUCGGCAACGGAUAUCUCGGCUCUCGCAUCGAUGAAGAACGUAGCGAAAUGCGAUACUUGGUGUGAAUUGCAGAAUCCCGUGAACCAUCGAGUCUUUGAACGCAAGUUGCGCCCGAAGCCUUCGGGCCGAGGGCACGCCUGCCUGGGUGUCAUGUACCGUCGCCCCAUCCGACUCCCUUGGCGGGGGAUCGGACGAGGGGCGGAGAAUGGUCUCCCGUGCGCUCCCGCUCGCGGUUGGCCGAAAUACGAGUCGUCGACGGCGGCGCCACGGCAUGCGGUGGUUGAUAAGACCCUCGAAGAUUGCCGCGGGCCAAGCCUGCAGAAGGCUCCGAGACCCUGCCACGUCCCCAACGG
rnacentral:rRNA from 1 species